rnacentral:rRNA from 1 species
CCGUAAGGCAACCUAACCCUUCGAGAUUGGGAUAACUACCGGAAACGGUAGCUAAUACCGGAUACGACUUUCCACAUAAGUGGAAUUGUUAAAAGGCGGAGUUUAUCUGCCGCUCAUGGAUGGGCCUGCGGUGCAUUAGCUAGUUGGUGAGAUAGUAGCUCACCAAGGCGACGAUGCAUAGCCGACCUGAGAGGGUGAUCGGCCACACUGGGACUGAGACACGGCCCAGACUCCUACGGGAGGCAGCAGUAGGGAAUCUUCCGCAAUGGACGAAAGUCUGACGGAGCAACGCCGCGUGAGUGAUGAAGGGUUUCGGCUCGUAAAACUCUGUUGUUAAGGAAGAAUACUUGAGGUAGUAACUGGCCUUGAGAUGACGGUACUUAACCAGAAAGCCACGGCUAACUACGUGCCAGCAGCCGCGGUAAUACGUAGGUGGCAAGCGUUAUCCGGAAUUAUUGGGCGUAAAGCGCGCGUAGGCGGUAAGAUAAGUCUGAUGUGAAAGCCCCCGGCUCAACCGGGGAGGGUCAUUGGAAACUGUUUUACUUGAGUACAGAAG